CUAAAAAAGAUGCAUGGAAUGAAAUCGCUGAAAAGUUUGGCAUAACAAGUAACGAGGCUUACAAAAAAUUCAGAAGCCUAAGAACUUACGCAAAUAAUGAGGAGAAAAAGAAGGAAAGUGGUAGUGCUGGCGGUAAAACAGUAAAGUGGUUUGCUUAAGAUGCGAUAUCGUUUCUCUUUACUCAAAAUACCACGAAUAUAGGAUUACAUAGUGAAAAUGAAAACUUCUAACGCGACUGAAACUACAUACUGACAUCAGUGCUGACCCACGUGAAGUCGUAGAAUCAGAAACAACCGACACUUUGGAAGCCGUCGAUACUACUCCAAAACCACGUACUAAAAGGCUCAAAUUAUUAUACGCGAUGCUGGCGAAAAUAAAAACGAAUAUGCUGCUACUAGAUACCUAUUAUUAUUAAAUUUAAAAAGUACAUAAUAGUUACUACCUAUGCGUAACAUAUUUAAUAAACCUAUGUUAACUUA